GUGAACUCGAAGAGUAGGGCGGGACACGUGGUAUCCUGUCUGAAUAUGGGGGGACCAUCCUCCAAGGCUAAAUACUCCUGACUGACCGAUAGUGAACCAGUACCGUGAGGGAAAGGCGAAAAGAACCCCGGCGAGGGGAGUGAAAAAGAACCUGAAACCGUGUACGUACAAGCAGUGGGAGCACCUUCGGGUGUGACUGCGUACCUUUUGUAUAAUGGGUCAGCGACUUAUAUUCUGUAGCAAGGUUAACCGUAUAGGGGAGCCGCAGGGAAACCGAGUCUUAACUGGGCGUUAAGUUGCAGGGUAUAGACCCGAAACCCGGUGAUCUAGCCAUGGGCAGGUUGAAGGUUGGGUAACACUAACUGGAGGACCGAACCGACUAAUGUUGAAAAAUUAGCGGAUGACUUGUGGCUGGGGGUGAAAGGCCAAUCAAACCGGGAGAUAGCUGGUUCUCCCCGAAAGCUAUUUAGGUAGCGCCUCGUGAACUCAUCUUCGGGGGUAGAGCACUGUUUCGGCUAGGGGGUCAUCCCGACUUACCAACCCGAUGCAAACUACGAAUACCGAAGAAUGUUAUCACGGGAGACACACGGCGGGUGCUAACGUCCGUCGUGAAGAGGGAAACAACCCAGACCGCCAGCUAAGGUCCCAAAGUCAUGGUUAAGUGGGAAACGAUGUGGGAAGGCACAGACAGCCAGGAUGUUGGCUUAGAAGCAGCCAUCAUUUAAAGAAAGCGUAAUAGCUCACUGGUCGAGUCGGCCUGCGCGGAAGAUGUAACGGGGCUAAACCAUGCACCGAAGCUGCGGCAGCGACACUAUGUGUUGUUGGGUAGGGGAGCGUUCUGUAAGCCUGCGAAGG
rnacentral:rRNA from 1 species